rnacentral:rRNA from 1 species
GAUGAACGCUGGCGGCGUGCCUAAUACAUGCAAGUCGAGCGAACAGACGAGGAGCUUGCUCCUUUGACGUUAGCGGCGGACGGGUGAGUAACACGUGGGUAACCUACCUAUAAGACUGGGAUAACUUCGGGAAACCGGAGCUAAUACCGGAUAAUAUUUCGAACCGCAUGGUUCGAUAGUGAAAGAUGGCUUUGCUAUCACUUAUAGAUGGACCUGCGCCGGAUUAGCUAGUUGGGAAGGUAACGGCUUACCAAGGCAACGAUACGUAGCCGACCUGAGAGGGUGAUCGGCCACACUGGAACUGAGACACGGUCCAGACUCCUACGGGAGGCAGCAGUAGGGAAUCUUCCGCAAUGGGCGAAAGCCUGACGGAGCAACGCCGCGUGAGUGAUGAAGGUCUUCGGAUCGUAAAACUCUGUUAUUAGGGAAGAACAAACGUGUAAGUAACUGUGCACGUCUUGACGGUACCUAAUCAGAAAGCCACGGCUAACUACGUG